CCGCCGUCGCUCUACCGAUUGAAUGGUUUAGUGAGGCCUCCUGAUUGGCGCCGCCGCCCCGGCAACGGAGUAGCGGAUGCCGAGAAGUUGGUCAAACUUGAUCAUUUAGAGGAAGUAAAAGUCGUAACAAGGUUUCCGUAGGUGAACCUGCGGAAGGAUCAUUA
rnacentral:rRNA from 1 species